UUCUGGUAUCGUGAUCGAUGCGUGGGUUCGAAUCCCACUCCGUGCA
rnacentral:tRNA from 1 species